rnacentral:rRNA from 1 species
GAGUUAGGUAAGUCCGGCUUCACAGACACUGAGAGCCGAGUACGAGCCAGGUAACACUGGCGAAGUCGUUGAUACCCUGCUUCCAAGAAAACCCGCUAAACGAGUUACAUAUCCAACCGUACCACAAACCGACACAGGUAGGCGAGGCGAGAAUCCUAAGGCGUAUGAGCGAACUCCAGCUAAGGAACUCGGCAAAAUGCCACCGUAACUUAGGGAGAAGGUGGGCUCCUAUUAGGUGUAGGGAUUUACUCCUGAAGCCGAGGGGAGUUGCAGAUGAUAGGCCCAGGCGACUGUUUAUCAAAAACACAGCACUCUGCUAACUCGUAAGAGGAUGUAUAGGGUGUGACGCCUGCCCGGUGCUGGAAGGUUAAGAGGAGGGGUUAGCGCAAGCGAAGCUCCGAAUUGAAGCCCCAGUAAACGGCGGCCGUAACUAUAACGGUCCUAAGGUAGCGAAAUUCCUUGUCGGGUAAGUUCCGACCUGCACGAAUGGCGUAACGAUCUGGGCGCUGUCUCGGC